UACGUAGGGGGCAAGCGUUGUCCGGAUUUAUUGGGCGUAAAGAGCGUGUAGGCGGCCAGACAGGUCCGUUGUGAAAACUGGAGGCUCAACCUCCAGACGUCGAUGGAAACCGUCUGGCUAGAGUCCGGAAGAGGAGAGUGGAAUUCCCGGUGUGAGCAGUGAAAUGCGUAGAGAUCGGGAGGAACAUCUGUGGCGAAGGCGACUGCCUGGACCAGCACUGACACUGAGGCACGAAAGCGUGGGAG
rnacentral:rRNA from 1 species